rnacentral:misc_RNA from 1 species
UGUUCAUAUUUUUUUCCCAACACACGAACAGGUGCAGCAGAGACCCUGGAAGGAUAGCACUUGAUCAAAGAAGCAAAUAUCAAACAGCACAGCACAACAUUCAGAAGUUGCAAUAUUAAUUGUAAAUUGUUAUUACAUAAUUUCACACCUAGAGCCAAGUUUUAACAGGAAAAAAAGAAGAAACCUCGGCUUUAAAAUGUUUCAUUACGUCUGAUUUAUGUUACAUUUAAUAAGCAUGAACAAGCACAGAGACAUAGGCAAGGCACAUAUGCAUUUGACAGGACAUACCCCUAAAACCUGUAAAUCAUUGAUUUCUUCUGAGAAUCCAAAAAACUGUCACAAUCAGUCACAGCAGCAAAAGGGAUGGUUGAAUGCAUGAGCCUGGAAUUAUCUUGAUCCAUAUUCCCACUGGGUUUCAGGACGUGCUUUGCUCCUGCAGUAAGUUUAAUGGGACCUGAUUUCACCAUACCAUCUGCUUUACAAGAAUCAAAGUCAUGUGAAGUUCCAAGCCCCUCCUUCUCAUCCUCAUUUGGACCACAUCCUACUUCAAUAGCUUUAUUCCCAUUUGAAUUGGGCUGAUGUGCCCCAGCGUUAUGCCAGAUUUCACUGCUAGAUUUCCCUCUCGCCAGCUCUGUGGCUGCAUUUGAAUCUUCACAGAUCGGCCUAGGCAUUUUUGUGGAUCUCAACAAAUCAUCUGCUGUUGCUGCAGGCCUCUUUCUGAUUUUUUUGGUAAUGGUCAGGCAGAUUAAUGCCAAAAGUAUUUGACUUCAUUCUCUCUCCAACAUUAAUGUUGUUCCCAUAGCUCAUGUUCAUGGAAAAAUUUGGAUUAAUUCCUGCACUGAAUGGAAAGAAUGGAGGUUGAACAAACAAUGCUGAUCCAAAUGAACUCUUCAGGUGUGGGUUUGAAACCAUGGAACUAUGAGAAUGGGAAACUGCAGAUGAAUGGUGAAGAGCAGUAAGAAAAUCAGUUCCAGUAGUAUUGCAAUGAUGAUGUUUACCACCCACAUCAGGAAGAGUCUGAGAAGGCAUAGUUGCUGGUUUCACUUGUAUGGUCGUCAACCCUGGAGGCAGGUUCCUAGAGGAGCUUGCAAAAGAAGAUGACUGGACAUGUUUAUUACAAUCAGGGCGUAAGAAGGGAAAGCCAAAGGCUGAUUUCCUUGUAUGUGGUAGAUUCUGCCGGCAAUUUAUUUUAGCAGGUAUCCCACCCAUACAUGGAUGUGUUUCCAGAGAAGAAGACGGUAUCGGCAGCUGAGAGCUGAUACUAACAGUUUCAGCACCAGAUAGAAGUGACUCCUGAAAGUUGGCUCCCUUACAUAUCAUAUCACGAGGAGAGGACGGACAAGCAGAAGGGUGCAUCUGAGAACUAGCAAUCCUGUUAACAGAAAGGUGACCAUUUUGGAAAGCAGCAUUAGUUUUCCAGUUGAAAUAUGGGUGUGAUCUAGAUUCUGAAACUUUCACCCAGAAAUUGCUUUGUGAGGCCUGAUUUUCAGCUUCUAGAGGAUAAAGCAAACUUUCCUCUGAUUUUCCUAAUGCUGGGAACAAAACCCUGUCCUGUUGAAUACGUCUAUCGUGCAAGGAAUUAUCCAGAACAAUACUUGCAGGACGACACUCUUGUAUGAUUUCUUUAUCUGUCCAGAUCUUUUCAUCAUCAAACCCUUGCAUCUCUAUGUUACUUCUCCCAAUUGCAACAUCUUUUCCCAUCAACCUCAUUGUUGGUCGUGCAGUUUCCAGUGCUAUGUUAUCUGAAUUUUCCUUCAGAUGAAUCAUCUGAGUUCCCUUUUGGUUCUGAUUCUGACCAUAUUGCCCCCAUUGAUUGAGAGAUAUAUUCAUCAAACUUGGCCUUGAAUCCGACGGGUGGACACUAUUGUUAGUUCUGCCCUCAGAAUUUAGCAAAUGGACAUCCAGUCUUCCAGUAUUUGGCAACUCAUUAACACAAAAUCUAGCUGGAAAUUGUACAUUAUGAUUCUUCUGUAUAGGUAGCAAAUUUAACUGGCCUUUUGCAACUGCCUGCUCAAUAGGAUGCUUUUCACUUACAAAAUUUCCCAAACUUCCAGGUACGACAGAAUUGCGUGGAGAUGAUCUACUUGCAGUUAUCAAAGUGGACUUCUUUGGCUGUUGGAAACCAACAUUACCACUUGAACUCACCUGCAUUAGUUGACCAUGUGAGUUGAGAGGUAGGCCACAAAAUUCCCCAUCUAUGCACUUUUCACUCAAGGCACCUACUCCUUGCUGGCAGCCUGAAUUCAUAAAUUCCAUUGGAGAAAGAUGAAAAAAUGGUUGGCAUUGCAAAGAUUGCCCACUGAUACUUUUGAUGGAAGAUUGUGGCAUAAAGGAAACCCUCGUGAUUGCACUGUCAAAUGAAGCAAAAUCGCAUGAUGGAGGCUGCAUAGAUGCCCUUGUACUUGCCAACAAACCCCCGGCUGCAAAUCCAUCUUUGGGAUCUUCGAAAUAAUCAACUAACUUUCCUCUUGGAUUGGAAGCCAUUGUUACGUUACCGCAUAACUGAGAAUUUACAUGGAGAUUUUUUGCUUCAUUCAUUGUAGGAAGGAGUCUCAAAAUGCCAGCAUAUGUGGGAUUUUGUGGUGCAGUUUGAUAUCCUUGAUCGAAAAUAUGCAAAUUGUCAUCACGAAUUAUAACUUGGCUUGGGGGUGAUCUAUCUGAGGUAUGCUGCUCUUUUCCUUGAUACGGGCUCAGAAAAUUUGGCAUACCAACAGGAUCAUGAAUACCUGGCAACUGAUUCUUGCUAAUCUUUGUUUGCCGCACACUUCCAUUUCCAGUGCUAACAGAAACAUCACUAGUUCCAUUCACCCUCACAGAAGCUGAUUGUUUAUCAUUUUCUGAGGAGUGGUCAUCCUCCAACUGAGAAGCAAGGGCAUCUCUGUAUGUGCCAAACAUAUUUUGAACAUUGGAACUUAAGUUUCUCUUCCUUGGACCGAGUAUGUCAUCUUUACCUGAGAACCUGACAUGCCUGUCUGAAUGUUGAAGUUCACAACAAUUCGUUUGACUACCACCUGGUAAGUUGCAAAUCUCAGAAUUCUGCUGAGGAAUAAGUUUCAUAUUACUUUUGAGAAUACCACGAACAUGAAUGGCUGCUUUCCGGUGCUUUGCAAUAAAUUUUGAUGCCUGAACACCGUGUUUCUUUUGUAUAGAGCCUUUCAGUCCCAAUCUAUUUCUCUGGAUUGAAACGCCAUCCAAAAUGUCUUUUGCAACCCCUUUAUUGCAAAAUGACUUAUAUGCUUUUGUUGAACAAUCAACGGAAAUUGGCAAUUUAAGCAUCAUAGGACUCCCCUUAUUUGUUAUUGGCCCCUUCUUGUUCUUCAUCUUCUUCUUUUUCAAUUUCUUUUUCUUCUGGUCCAGCAUCAACUUGUUCGCAAUCGCUGCUUUCUUUAUCUUCUUCUUGUUGAUAUUAACCUUUUUUCUUUUCUGCUCAUCAUGCUUUGUCUUCAAAACAUCCAAAUCACCAUCAUCAUGAGCAUGAGGAAAAUCAUCAUCAUCUGCUAUAGCAUCAUCAUCAACAACCCUCUCAAUCUGUGGCGAAACUGCAAAGAUCUCAAUAAUGGAUCUUUUCUUAGGAGAUUUGGAUUUGGCCUUCAAUGACAUUCUCAUAUUCCUUCUAUCCUCUCUUUGAGCAUGAGCAAGACAGCUAUCAACAUGAGCAUUAACCGCUUUCAGAGUGGCCGCCGCGAAAUUCCCACAAACCGGACACACAAUCUCCAAUUUCUCCUCGUCCUCCUCCUUGGCCUCAUUUCCUGGAAUACCAGCAACUCCUUGUUGUUGCUGUUGUUGAAUCUUGCUCAGCUCAUGGGACCACCAGCGGAAUUUGGUGACGGUGAUUGGAGGGAGGAGAGCUUCUAGGCGUUGUUCGCUGAUUUCAUUUUCAUCUGGGUCUUCUCCACCACCACUAGCGCCAAACGGCCAGCAUUUUCCCACAUCCACCGCCCUCAUCUUAGCUGUGUAUUCACGAAUCGAGAAUCCCUCGUCAAAAGCAACCGCCAUGUUUCUUCCUCAACUCCACACAGCACCCACAGCCGUAUGAGACGACCAAAGACUAGCUCACUAGCUAUCUCUCAAAUUCAGAGCUAAAGACACUAAGCAAAACAACUAAACAAGACCCGAGAUCGCUCAGAAAGGAGCUUCACAAAGGGACCCAGAAAUCAAAGACCAAAGAAGGAGGAAGGCAUGGCAUGAUAACAUAAGAGAUGAUGAUGAUAGAGGUAAAGAAGUUCCAUAGAUGAGGAUAGAGAGAGAACGUAAGUGUUAAAUAUGGAAAGAGAGAGAAUAGAGAAGCUUUUAU